CGGUUGUGGCAAGCGUUAUCCGGAAUUAUUGGGCGUAAAGCGUCCGCAGGCGUCCUUGAAAGUCUGUCGUUAAAGCGUGGAGCUUAACUCCAUUUCGGCGGUGGAAACUACAAGGCUUGAGUGUGGUAGGGGCAGAGGGAAUUCCCGGUGUAGCGGUGAAAUGCGUAGAUAUCGGGAAGAACACCAGUGGCGAAGGCGCUCUGCUGGGCCAUAACUGACGCUCAUGGACGAAAGCUAGGGGAGCGAAAGGGAUUAGAUACCCCUGUAGUCCUAGCCGUAAACGAUGAACACUAGGUGUCGGGGGAAUCGACCCCCUCGGUGUCGUAGCUAACGCGUUAAGUGUUCCGCCUGGGGAGUACGCACGCAAGUGUGAAACUCAAAGGAAUUGACGGGGGCCCGCACAAGCGGUGGAGUAUGUGGUUUAAUUCGAUGCAACGCGAAGAACCUUACCAGGGUUUGACAUCCUGCGAAUCCCUUGGAAACUUGGGAGUGCCUUCGGGAGCGCAGAGACAGGUGGUGCAUGGCUGUCGUCAGCUCGUGUCGUGAGAUGUUGGGUUAAGUCCCGCAACGAGCGCAACCCACGUCUUUAGUUGCCAGCAUUUAGUUGGGCACUCUAGAGAGACCGCCGGUGAUAAACCGGAGGAAGGUGUGGAUGACGUCAAGUCAUCAUGCCCCUUACAUCCUGGGCUACACACGUACUACAAUGCUACGGACAAAGGGUUGCAAACUCGCGAGAGCUAGCUAAUCCCAUAAACCGUGGCUCAGUUCAGAUCGUAGGCUGCAACUCGCCUACGUGAAGGAGGAAUCGCUAGUAAUCGCAGGUCAGCAUACUGCGGUGAA
rnacentral:rRNA from 1 species